CACGUAGGGUGCGAGCGUUGUCCGGAAUUAUUGGGCGUAAAGAGCUCGUAGGCGGUGUGUCGCGUCGGCCGUGAAAACCUGCAGCUUAACUGUGGGCGUGCGGUCGAUACGGGCAUCACUGGAGUUCGGCAGGGGAGACUGGAAUUCCUGGUGUAGCGGUGAAAUGCGCAGAUAUCAGGAGGAACACCGGUGGCGAAGGCGGGUCUCUGGGCCGAUACUGACGCUGAGGCGCGAAAGCGUGGGUAGCAAACAGG
rnacentral:rRNA from 1 species